rnacentral:misc_RNA from 1 species
GAUGAAGAACGUAGCGAAAUGCGAUACUUGGUGUGAAUUGCAGAAUCCCGUGAACCAUCGAGUCUUUGAACGCAAGUUGCGCCCGAGGCCUCCUGGUCGAGGGCACGUCUGCCUGGGUGUCACGCAUCGUCGCCCCCGCUCCCCUCGGCUCACGAGGGCGGGGGCGGAUACUGGUCUCCCGCGUGCUCCCGCCCGUGGUUGGCCUAAAAUCGAGUCCCUGGCGACAGUCGCCACGACAAGCGGUGGUUGAGAGACCCUCGGACACGGUCGUGCGCGUGCUUGGCGCCCCCGGGACCGCCCGGACCCCCGAGCAUUGGCUUUCAGGGAUGCUCUCGUUGCGACCCCAGGUCAGGCGGGACUACCCGCUGAGUUUAAGCAUAUCAAUAAGCGGAGGA